AUGAAAUCUCUGUGUACCUUAAUCAUUGCUGUGAUCUUUGCCAUAACAGUGAUCCUUUCACUUGAGGUAAAUGCUUUCAAAAAUACCAAAGCUAGUACUUACCCAUCUUCAUCCAAAGUUUCAAAAAUGCUUUCAUCAUUUCAUUCUCUCUCAUAUAAACAAGGGGAUUCAAAAUCAACUCAACAGGUAGCUGCUAGCCUUAGAGUCAUACCACCUAGCAGACCAAAUCCAACACAGAACAAGUAA